UGGUUCCACUGGAACAUAUAGUAGCAAUAUCUUAUUUACAUUUUGUAUCAAAGGAGCGGAUAUCACAUUUUUCCCUUUGUUUCCUGUGGUUUUUUUUAGAUAGCGCAGGACUUUCAGGUGCUGUAUGGUGAGGCUGCACCUAAAUUAUUUGAGACCUGGAUCCCUGAAUAUGCUGAAAAGGUCCUGUACUUGGCCAAGCAGGACAAUAAACUCCCUUCACUUUCUGUUGAGGACAUGACACUGGAUGCCAAAGGGGAACUAGCGCUAACACUGCUACCCACCAUGGUGCCACAGGCCGUCUACAGGGUUGGGAAGAAGACUAUCCGGCACUCCAUUGAAGAGUCCCGGACAGCGUUCAUACACCAAAUGCCUGUUGUAACAAAUAUGGUGGAAUACCUCCUGCAAUCGUAGCCAUUCCCCUCUGUCCUGGCGCUGGGAGAUCCCCAGCAAUGUGCUUCUCAGGCAUUUGUGAUAUUGGCUGGUCAGGCACUCCCUCAGAGCACACUGCUUGGGGCAGUUGACAUGUGCUUCAAGGCAUUUUAUGUUCUUGAUAUCAACUACCCCAAGCAGUGUGCUCCCGCAUGGGAGUUUCUGCAGCAAGUUGUGUAUCAGAUUGAGAAAUCUGAAUCAAAACCUGUCAAAUUUCUUAAGACUGCCUUGCUUAAUUGCAGAACUGUUUAAUUGUGUUAAGCUGCAGUAAAUGACACAACCAAUGUUUGAAGACUUUAAGCCUCAAGUUCAAUCCAGUUAUUGAAUGUUGUCAGAUGUUUGAGAGAGAAUGAGUUGUUUAUUUUUCUAUUUUUUCUAAUGUCUAAUGUUAUUACAGUGUGACCUAAAAUGAAUAGGUCCAAGUGUGUGUUUUUUAUAUAGAGUUUAAUUUAAUUUAAUGCAAUAAAAAUGUAAAAGUGCUUGAAGUGUGUAAGUGCCUGAAGUUUUAUUUUCUGAAAUAAGGCAUACUGGCAUAGUAACCCAAGUUAGGUUAUUUUUGACCUUUGACCUUUGGUUAAAAAGGGACCUACUAAUUUCUGGGUUAUUUCAACCCAGAUAUUGGGGUUGUUCUUUUGACCCAGAAGUUGGGUUAUA